rnacentral:rRNA from 1 species
GAUGAACGCUAGCGGCAGGCUUAACACAUGCAAGUCGAGGGGUAUUGGUUUUCGGACCAAGAGACCGGCGCACGGGUGCGUAACGCGUAUGCAAUCUACCUUUUGCAGAGGGAUAGCCCCAGAGAAAUUUGGAUUAAUACCUCAUAGUAUAGUACUUUGGCAUCAAGGAACUAUUAAAGUCACAACGGCAAAGAUGAGCAUGCGUCCCAUUAGCUAGUUGGUAAGGUAACGGCUUACCAAGGCUACGAUGGGUAGGGGUUCUGAGAGGGAGAUCCCCCACACUGGUACUGAGACACGGACCAGACUCCUACGGGAGGCAGCAGUGAGGAAUAUUGGACAAUGGGCGCAAGCCUGAUCCAGCCAUGCCGCGUGCAGGAUGACGGUCCUAUGGAUUGUAAACUGCUUUUUAUACAGGAAGAAACACUCCGACGUGUCGGAGCUUGACGGUACUGUAAGAAUAAGGAUCGGCUAAACUCCGUGCCAGCAGCCG